GUAGGUGGCAAGCGUUGUCCGGAAUUAUUGGGCGUAAAGCGCGCGCAGGCGGUUUUUAAGUCUGAUGUGAAAGCCCACGGCUCAACCGUGGAGGGUCAUUGGAAACUGGAGAACUUGAGUGCAGAAGAGGAGAGCGGAAUUCCACGUGUAGCGGUGAAAUGCGUAGAGAUGUGGAGGAACACCAGUGGCGAAGGCGGCUCUCUGGUCUGUAACUGACGCUGAGGCGCGAAAGCGUGGGGGGAGCAAACAGGAUUAGAUACCCUGGUAGUCCACGCCGUAAACGAUGAGUGCUAAGUGUUAGAGGGUUUCCCGCCCUUUAGUGCUGCGGCAAACGCAUUAAGCACUCCGCCUGGGAGUACGGUCGCAAGACUG
rnacentral:rRNA from 1 species